AUUGAACGCUGGCGGCAGGCCUAACACAUGCAAGUCGAACGAGUGGCGCACGGGUGAGUAAUGUAGGGGACACUGCCUGAUGGAGGGGGAUAACUACUGGAAACGGUAGCUAAUACCGUAUACUCUCAGAUGUGCCCAGAUGGGAUUAGCUAGUGGGUGGGGUAACGGCUCACCAAGGCGACGAUCCCUAGCUGGUCUGAGAGGAUGACCAGCCACACUGGGACUGAGACACGGUCCAGACUCCUACGGGAGGCAGCAGUGGGGAAUAUUGCACAAUGGGCGCAAGCCUGAUACAGCCAUGCCGCGUGUAUGAAGAAGGCCUUCGGGUUGUAAAGUACUUUCAGCGGGGAGGCGUUACCCGCAGAAGAAGCACCGGCUAACUCCGUGCCAGCAGCCGCGGUAAUUC
rnacentral:rRNA from 1 species